UACGUAGGGUCCGAGCGUUGUCCGGAAUUAUUGGGCGUAAAGGGCUCGUAGGCGGUCGUACAAGUCGCGUGUGAAAGCCCCCGGCUCAACUGGGGAGGGUCACGCGAUACUGUUCGACUCGAAGGCAGGAGAGGGUAGUGGAAUUCCCGGUGUAGUGGUGAAAUGCGUAGAUAUCGGGAGGAACACCAGUGGCGAAGGCGACUACCUGGCCUGUUCUUGACGCUGAGGCGCGAAAGCUAGGGUAGCAAACGGG
rnacentral:rRNA from 1 species